UUAACCCAAAGUAUUAUGAAGUGAAGUGAGAUGCUUCCUCCAACCCAUCAACUAUUGAACCAUAAAAUCCACUUUCUUUUUGUUCCAGCAGUGCGACCAAAAUACUCUUUCCUUCUCUGUUUUUAUUCUAUCUCCCCGUUACCUAAACGCCCUCAUAUGGCCUUUCUCUUAUGUGUUUUUUAACCUAGACGUUGGAAAACCAUUGAAACAUUCUACCAC
rnacentral:lncRNA from 1 species